CUUUAGUGGCGAACGGGUGAGUAACGCGUGAAUAACCUGACUCAAAGAGGGGGAUAACAACGGGAAACUGUUGCUAAUACCGCAUGAGACCACAACACCGCAUGAUGAAGGGGUCAAAGAUUUAUCGCUUUGAGAGGGGUUCGCGUCCCAUUAGGUAGUUGGAGGGGUAACGGCCCACCAAGCCAACGACGGGUAGCCGAGCUGAGAGGCUGAUCGGCCACACUGGAACUGAGACACGGUCCAG
rnacentral:rRNA from 1 species